UCCAGACUCCUACGGGAGGCAGCAGUGGGGGAUAUUGCACAAUGGGGGGAACCCUGAUGCAGCGACGCCGCGUGGGUGAAGGAGCGUUUCGGCGCGUAAAGCCCUAUCGGCAGGGAAGAAGGAGGACGGUACCUGACUAAGAAGCCCCGGCUAACUACGUGCCAGCAGCCGCGGUAAUACGUAGGGGGCAAGCGUUAUCCGGAUUUACUGGGUGUAAAGGGGGCGCAGACGGCAGCGCAAGCCAGGAGUGAAAGCCCGGGGCCCAACCCCGGGACUGCUCUUGGAACUGCGCGGCUGGAGUGCAGGAGGGGCAGGCGGAAUUCCUGGUGUAGCGGUGAAAUGCGUAGAUAUCAGGAGGAACACCGGUGGCGAAGGCGGCCUGCUGGACUGCGACUGACGUUGAGGCCCGAAAGCGUGGGGAGCAAACAGGAUUAGAUACCCCUGUAAG
rnacentral:rRNA from 1 species